rnacentral:rRNA from 1 species
GAAUCUUCGGCAAUGGACGAAAGUCUGACCGAGCAACGCCGCGUGAGUGAUGAAGGUUUUCGGAUCGUAAAGCUCUGUAGCCAGGGAAGAACAGCCUCAUGUUAACUGCAUGAGGUGUGACGGUACCUGAGAAGAAAGCCCCGGGUAACUACGUGCCAGCAGCCGCGGUAAUACGUAGGGGGCAAGCGUUGUCCGGAAUUAUUGGGCGUAAAGCGCGCGCAGGCGGCCAUUUAAGUCUGGUGUUUAAUACAUGGGCUCAACCUAUGUUCGCAUUGGAAACUGGGUGGCUGGAGUGUAGGAGAGGAAAGUGGAAUUCCACGUGUAGCGGUGAAAUGCGUAGAGAUGUGGAGGAACACCAGUGGCGAAGGCGACUUUCUGGCCUAUAACUGACGCUGAGGCGCGAAAGCGUGGGGAGCAAA